CCUACGGGUGGCAGCAGUGGGGAAUCUUGCACAAUGGGGGAAACCCUGAUCCAGCAACGCCGCGUGAGUGAUGACGGCCUUCGGUUUGUAAAGCUCUGUCUUCAGGGACGAUAAUGACGUUACCUGACGAGGAAACCACUGCUAACUACGUGCCAGCAGCCGCGGUAAUACGUAGGUGGCGAGCGUUGUCCGGAUUUACUGGGCGUAAAGGGAGCGUAGGCGGAGUUUUAAGUUGGAUGUGAAAUACUCGGGCCCAACUUGAGUGCUGCAUUUCAAACUGGAAGUCUAGAGUGCAGGAGAGGAGAAUGGAAUUCCUAGUGUAGCGGUGAAAUGCGUAGAGAGUAGGAAGAACAC
rnacentral:rRNA from 1 species